AUUGAACGCUGGCGGCAGGCUUAACACAUGCAAGUCGAGCGGAGUGAUGGUGCUUGCACUAUCACUUAGCGGCGGACGGGUGAGUAAUGCUUAGGAAUCUGCCUAUUAGUGGGGGACAACAUCUCGAAAGGGAUGCCAAUACCGCAUACGUCCUACGGGAGAAAGCAGGGGAUCACUUGUGACCUUGCGCUAAUAGAUGAGCCUAAGUCGGAUUAGCUAGUUGGUGGGGUAAAGGCCUACCAAGGCGACGAUCUGUAGCGGGUCUGAGAGGAGGAUCCGCCACACUGGGACUGGGACACGGCCCAGACUCCUACGGGAGGCAGCAGUGGGGAAUAUUGGACAAUGGGGGGAACCCUGAUCCAGCCAUGCCGCGUGUGUGGAGAAGGCCUUAUGGUUGUAAAGCACUUUAAGCGAGGAGGAGGCUCUUUUGGUUAAUACCCAAGAUGAGUGGACGUUACUCGCAGAAUAAGCACCGGCUAACUCUGUGCCAGCCGCCGCCGUAA
rnacentral:rRNA from 1 species